UUUUAAUUGAAGGCUUGUAUGAAGGGUUGGACAAAGGAUAAGCUGUCUUUUUUCUUGUUUUUGAAUUUGUCUUUUAAGUGAAAAGACUUAAAUUAUUUUAAGGGACGAUAAGACCCUAUAAAUCUUUAUAUUAACGUAUUUUUAUUUUAAUUUUUAAUGUUUAUAAAGAUAAAAGUAUAAAAUAUUAUGUUGGGGUGAUAAGAAUAAUUAAUAAACUGUUCUAAAGAAAAACAAAGUUGUUUGGGAAAAUAAUAGAUCCUUUUUAGAGAUUAAAAGUUUAAGUUACUUUAGGGAUAACAGCGUUAUUUUUCUUGAGAGUCCUAAUCGAAAGAAAAGUUUGCGACCUCGAUGUUGAAUUAAAAUUUCUCUAUGGUGCAGCCGUUAUAGAAGAAAGUCUGUUCGACUUUUAAAAUUUUACGUGAUCU
rnacentral:rRNA from 1 species